AUUGAACGCUGGCGGCAGGCCUAACACAUGCAAGUCGAGCGGAUGAAGGGAGCUUGCUCCUGGAUUCAGCGGCGGACGGGUGAGUAAUGCCUAGGAAUCUGCCUGGUAGUGGGGGAUAACGUCCGGAAACGGGCGCUAAUACCGCAUACGUCCUGAGGGAGAAAGUGGGGGAUCUUCGGACCUCACGCUAUCAGAUGAUCCUAGGUCGGAUUAGCUAGUUGGUGGGGUAAAGGCCUACCAAGGCGACGAUCCGUAACUGGUCUGAGAGGAUGAUCAGUCACACUGGAACUGAGACACGGUCCAGACUCCUACGGGGGGCAGCAGUGGGGAAUAUUGGAGAAUGGGCGAAAGCCUGAUCCAGCCAUGCCGCGUGUGUGAAGAAGGUCUUCGGAUUGUAAAGCACUUUAAGUUGGGAGGAAGGGCAGUAAGUUAAUACCUUGCUGUUUUGACGUUACCAACAGAAUAAGCACCGGCUAACUUCGUG
rnacentral:rRNA from 1 species